GUUGGGGUUGUAGGACACUCUAUACGGAGUUACAAAGGACGACAUUAGACGAAUCAUCUGGAAAGAUGAAUCAAAGAAGGUAAUAAUCCUGUAGUCGAAAAUGUUGUCUCUCUUGAGUGGAUCCUGAGUACGACGGAGCACGUGAAAUUCCGUCGGAAUCUGGGAGGACCAUCUCCUAAGGCUAAAUACUCUCUAGUGACCGAUAGUGAACCAGUACCGUGAGGGAAAGGUGAAAAGCACCCCGGAAGGGGAGUGAAAUAGAACCUGAAACCGUGUGCUUACAAGUAGUCAGAGCCCGUUAAUGGGUGAUGGCGUGCCUUUUGUAGAAUGAACCGGCGAGUUACGAUUUGAUGCAAGGUUAAGCAGUAAAUGUGGAGCCGUAGCGAAAGCGAGUCUGAAUAGGGCGUUUAGUAUUUGGUCGUAGACCCGAAACCAGGUGAUCUACCCUUGGUCAGGUUGAAGUUCAGGUAACACUGAAUGGAGGACCGAACCGACUUACGUUGAAAAGUGAGCGGAUGAACUGAGGGUAGCGGAGAAAUUCCAAUCGAACCUGGAGAUAGCUGGUUCUCUCCGAAAUAGCUUUAGGGCUAGCCUCAAGUGAUGAUUAUUGGAGGUAGAGCACUGUUUGGACGAGGGGCCCCUCUCGGGUUACCGAAUUCAGACAAACUCCGAAUGCCAAUUAAUUUAACUUGGGAGUCAGAACAUGGGUGAUAAGGUCCGUGUUCGAAAGGGAAACAGCCCAGACCACCAGCUAAGGUCCCAAAAUAUAUGUUAAGUGGAAAAGGAUGUGGCGUUGCCCAGACAACUAGGAUGUUGGCUUAGAAGCAGCCAUCAUUUAAAGAGUGCGUAAUAGCUCACUAGUCGAGUGACACUGCGCCGAAAAUGUACCGGGGCUAAACAUAUUACCGAAGCUGUGGAUUGUCCUUUGGACAAUGGUAGGAGAGCGUUCUAAGGGCGUUGAAGCAUGAUCGUAAGGACAUGUGGAGCGCUUAGAAGUGAGAAUGCCGGUGUGAGUAGCGAAAGACGGGUGAGAAUCCCGUCCACCGAUUGACUAAGGUUUCCAGAGGAAGGCUCGUCCGCUCUGGGUUAGUCGGGUCCUAAGCUGAGGCCGACAGGCGUAGGCGAUGGAUAACAGGUUGAUAUUCCUGUACCACCUAUAAUCGUUUUA
rnacentral:rRNA from 1 species